rnacentral:lncRNA from 1 species
GUGCAGGACGUGCAGGUUUGGAACAUAGGUACACGUGUGCCACGGUGCUUUGCUGCACCUAUCCACCAGUCGUCUAGGUUUGAAGCCCCGCAUGCGUUGGCUAUUUGUCCUAAUGCUCUCUCUCCCCUUGCCCCCCACGCCCCGUCAGGGCCCGGCGUGUGAUGUUCCCCUCCCUGUGUCCCAUGUGUUCUCGCUGUUCAACUCCCACUUAGGAGCGAGAACAUGCGGUGUUUGGUUUUCGCUUCCUGUGUCAGUUUGCUGAGAAUGAGGCCUUCCAGCUUCAUCCACGUUCCCGCAGAGGUCAUGAACUCAUCCUUUUUUAUGGCUGCGUAGUAAUUCCAUGCUGUAUACGUGCCACACUUUCUUUAUCCAGCCUAUCAUUCAUGGGCAUUCGAGUUGGUUCCAAGUCUUUGCUAUUGUAAAUAGUGCUGCAGUAAACAUACGUGUCCACGUGUCUUCCUAGUAGGAACUUCUUCCUCUUCAGCCCGCUGAGUAGCUGGCACUUUAAGGCAGGUGCCAACGCACCGGCAGCAAGCUUCCUUUUUUGCCCGGGAAAAACUGAGGUGCAGGUAGUAUAAGCCAUUGAUCACGGAACGCACAGGAGCAGAGCUCGAGUCCAAGCAUCGUGGCUCCACCCGUCAUGCUGGAUGCAUCUUUAGGCUCCGCUCUAGGUAUGUGUAUCCUUUACGGGAUCAGCCACCGGCAGUUGCCUUGCGAGCACGAUGACAAACCUCUGCCGGCUCUUUUGGGUCUCAUCCCUGUAUCUAUACGUUGCAUCCCAACAUAAAGACCGGAAUGUUCCUUUCGCUGACCCAGUCUCUCACCCUUUCCAAACUCCAGAAAUCUUGUCUGUCCUCGGAAGAACUCCCCCUGCUUCUUUCUCUAAAGGCUGUCUUCAGGCCGGGCACAGUGGGAGGAUCGCUUGAGCCCAGAAGGCCGCAGUGAGGUGAGAUCGCGCCAUUGCACUGCAGCCCCCGGCGGCAGAGCCGGAGCCCCGUCUCGAAACAAACAAACAAAAACCAACCAACCAACCAACCAACCAACAAACAAACACAGACAAAGAAAGAAAGAGCCCAGGCAACCUAGUGAAAACCUGUUCGGGCUGGGGCAUACCUGUACCCCAGCUGUUCCGGAGGCUGAGGCCAGGAGGAUGGGUGGACGCUGGGAGGUGGAUGCUGCAGUGAGCAGUGAUUGCACCACUGCACUCCAGCCUGGGUGACAGAGCCAGACCCCGUCCCAAAUAAAUAAACAUAAAAAUAAAGGAACCAGUUUGUAGAAAGCGGGAGAGGGUCCCAUUGAACUUCAAGCCUUCGAGCAACAGCUGUGGCUGGACAGGUUGGACCAGCAGGCUGGAGCAGUCGCCAUCUUGGCAGGGAUCAUUGACCCUGAUCUAUCGUCGGGAGGAGGAAGAGCUGAUCUUACGCAGGGAGGGCAGGUGGACUAUGUGUGGACUCUGGUGACCUGUUUGGGUGCCAGGUGUUACUCCCAGGGCCACCCGUAACUGUGAAUGUGCAGGAACCCUGACUUGAGAAGGGCCUGGCCACGGGGGGCUUAGGCCCCUGGGGAAUGAGAGUUUGGUUCCCGGUACCCAGGGAAACCACCAGCAUCGGCAGAGGUGAUAGCUGAGGAGGAGCGGGGAUUUGGACGAGAGACACAGGAUGAGUACCGGGGGGCAGCCCCGUGAUCAACAACUGCUGCAAGAGGGGCCGUUUGUUCGACUCGCUAGUCUUCUGCGGCUCUAUGCGGUACUAAAGAGCAGAAGACAGAAGAUACAAAAACCACAAAAAGUAGCCGGGCGUGGUGCUGCCCGUCAAUAAUCCCAGCUACUCGGGAGGCUGAGACAGGAGAAUCGCUUGAACCCGGGAGGCGGAAGUUUCAGCGAGCCGAGAUCACGCCGUUGCAGUCCAACCUGAGCGUCCGAGCGAGACUCUAUCUCAGAAAAUAAAGACAGAAUGAAAGAGCCCGGCGCGGUGGCUUACGCCUGUAAUCCCAGCGCUUUGGGAGGCCGAGGCGGGCGGAUCGCCUGAGGUCAGGAGCUCGAGACCAGCCUGGCCGACAUGGCGAAACCCCCUAAAAAUACAAAAAUUAGCCGGGCGUGGUGGCCUGCGCCUGUAAUCCCAGCUACCCAGGAGGCUGAGGCAGGAGAAUCGCUGGAACCCGGGAGGUAGAGGCUGCAGUGAGCCGAGAUCGCGCCACUGCACUCCAGCCUGGGCGACAGAGCGAGAGUUUGUCUGGAAAAAAAAAAAAAAAAAGCCAGGGUGAGCGGUGGCUCAAGCCUGUAAUCGCAAGCAACACUUUGGGAGGCGGCAGCUGGGCAGAUCACCGGAGGUCGGGAGUUGGAGACCAGCCUGAGCAACGUGGAGAAACCCCAUCUGUACUAAAAAUACAAAGUUAGCCGGGCGUGGUGGCACAUGCCUGUAGUCCCAGCUGCUCGGGAGGCUGAGGCAGGGGAAUCGCUUGAACCCGGGAGGCGGAGGUUGCAGAGAGCCUAGAUCGCGCCAUUGGACUCCAGGCUGGGUAACAAGAGCGGAACCUCCGUCUGAAAAAAAAAAAAAAAAAAAAAAAAUUGGGAGAAUUUUGCUCCCACUGCCGUCAAAAUCCCACGUGUAUUUCACACUUACAGCACAGCUCCAUUAGAACUGACC